AUUGAACGCUGGCGGCACGCUUAACACAUGCAAGUCGAGCGAGCGGCGGACGGGUGAUUAAUGUCUGGGAAACUGCCUGAUGGAGGGGGAUAACUACUGGAAACGGUAGCUAAUACCGCAUACCAUCAGAUGUGCCCAGAUGGGAUUAGCUAGUAGGUGGGGUAAUGGCGCACCUGGGUGACGAUCCCUAGCUGGUCUGAGAGGAUGACCGGCCACCCUGGGACUGAGACACGGUCCAGACUCCUACGGUAGGCAUCAGUGGGGCAUAUUGCACAAUGGGGGCAAGCCUGAUGCAGCCAUGCCGCGUGUGUGAAGAAGGCCUUCGGGUUGUAAAGCACUUUCAGCGAGGAGGCGUUACUCGCAGAAGAAGCACCGGCUAACUCCGUGCCAGCAGCCGCGGUAAUUC
rnacentral:rRNA from 1 species